ACGGGUGAGUAACACGUGAGUAACCUGCCCUUCACUCUGGGAUAACUCCGGGAAACCGGGGCUAAUACUGGAUAUGACUCCUCCUCGCAUGGGGUGGGAGUGGAAAGCUUUUGUGGUGGAGGAUGGACUCGCGGCCUAUCAGCUUGUUGGUGAGGUAGUGGCUCACCAAGGCGACGACGGGUAGCCGGCCUGAGAGGGCGACCGGCCACACUGGGACUGAGACACGGCCCAGACUCCUACGGGAGGCAGCAGUGGGGAAUAUUGCACAAUGGGCGAAAGCCUGAUGCAGCGACGCCGCGUGAGGGAUGAAGGCCUUCGGGUUGUAAACCUCUUUCAGCUCUGAAGAAGCGAAAGUGACGGUAGGAGCAGAAGAAGCACCGGCUAACUACGUGCCAGCAGCCGCGGUAAUACGUAGGGUGCGAGCGUUGUCCGGAAUUAUUGGGCGUAAAGAGCUUGUAGGUGGUUUGUCGCGUCUGCGGUGAAAUCCCAACGCUUAACGUUGGGCUUGCCGUGGGUACGGGCAGACUAGAGUGUGGUAGGGGAGACUGGAAUUCCUGGUGUAGCGGUGAAAUGCGCAGA
rnacentral:rRNA from 1 species